rnacentral:rRNA from 1 species
AAUCUACCUCUGGGUGGGGAAUAACAGCCGGAAACGGCUGCUAAUACCGCAUAAUGCAGCGGCACCACAUGGUGACAGUUGUUAAAGCGGGGGAACGAGCAAUCGUCCUCGCGCCUGGAGAGGAGCCUGCGGCGGAUUAGCUAGUUGGCGGGGUAACGGCCCACCAAGGCGUCGAUCCGUAGCCGGCCUGAGAGGGCGGUCGGCCACACUGGCACUGACACACGGGCCAGACUCCUACGGGAGGCAGCAGUCGGGAAUUUUGGGCAAUGGGCGAAAGCCUGACCCAGCAACGCCGCGUGAAGGAUGAAGCUUCUCGGAGUGUAAACUUCAUAAGAAUGGGACRAAUAAGUGGGGGAUAACACCCCCCAUGAUGACGGUACCAUUUGUAAGCUCCGGCUAACUCCGUGCCAGCAGCCGCGGUAAUACGGGGGGAGCAAGCGUUGUUCGGAUUUACUGGGCGUAAAGGGCGCGUAGGCGGCGCAMCAGGUCACUUGUGAAAUCUCCGGGCUUAACCCGGGA